CGAACCGGAAUCGGUCUAUGUGAGAACGAUCAGCAAGGCUCCGCCCUAAUAAACCUUCUGUCUAAUCCGGCGCAAGGGUUUACCUGCGGCUGCCUCUAGAGAACCCGCCUGUGCCUCAGCGGAAAGAGCGAGUUAGGGUUUAAUCCUCAUGUCUGGCCCCGGCUUGCAUCACUUCCAGCAGCAAUGGGCUCCGCUUCAGCCCCCGCAGCCAUCAAUCUCUACUCCUUCAGCCAUCACCGUGGAAUUCCCUGUCCGCCCGACCUCUGAAGAGGUUCGGACGAUCUUCAUUGCUGGCUUUCCUGCCGACGUGAAGGAGAGGGAGCUUCAUAACCUUCUGCGCUGGCUCCCUGGUUUUGAGGCUUCUCAGAUUAAUAUGAAAGGGGAUCAGCCAAUGGGUUUCGCUCUAUUCUCAACUGCCCAGCAUGCUGUUGCCGCUAAAACUGCACUCCAGGACUUGGUGUUUGAUUCGGCGACAAAUUCAACUCUUCAUAUAGAGAUGGCUAAGAAAAAUCUUUUUGUUAAGAGAGGCAUGGGAGCUGAUUUCAGCUCCUUAGACCAAAGCAAACGCAUAAGAACUGGUGGAGAGUAUGCUCAAUCUGGUUAUCCAAGUCCUCCCUUCCCCCCACAGACUCCUUCCCUUUGGACAACAUCAGGGUAUAUGGCUCCUCCUGUUCUGUAUGCCCCAUAUGGAGGCUAUCCAGUUACUCAGGUGGCUUUACCUACCCCUGUUUCUGUGCCAGCUCCAACUGUCUAUGCCCCUGUUCAGAAUACAAAAGACAAUCCUCCUUGUAAUACUCUGUUUGUUGGAAAUCUUGGAGAAAAUGUGACAGAGGAAGAACUGAGAGGCCUCUUUAGCGCACAACCAGGUUAUAAACAAAUGAAGAUCUUGCGUCAUGAUAGAAGCACUGUGUGCUUUAUUGAAUUCGAUGAUGUAGCUAGUGCUACGGGUGUUCACAUAAAACUACAAGGUGCUGUUCUACCCAGUGCAGGUCACACUGGCAUCAGGAUCCAGUUUUCAAAAAAUCCCUUUGGGCGACGGAAGGACUUGAAUGGCACUCCUGCAGAAACCAAAGGAUCAACUUAGCUGUCAAUUGAAGCAACGUGCUGCUCUUUGUGCUUUCCCAUGAAGGCUAACAAUUCCAUAAACCAGAAGUAUUUGCUGGUUUGAAUUGUGCAGAAUUAUUUUAGGUGAUGAUGUUGAUCAAAGAUUGAUCACUGGAGCCCGCAGGCACUUCUCCGAAAUUUCCUCAACUUGGUACUAUUUCAUGUGAAAGUGCUCUCUAUUUUGUGCGGUGGUGUUACAAGAAUAGAAGUUCAGCAUGUUUUUUUGCCGCUUAUACAUCUUAAAAGCAGGCAAAAUUUUGUCUCGCAAGUAAAGAGCAAUGGAGCUGAUAAAUGUAGCAACAAAUGGGGUACUUGAGCCACUUGGGUUCUUCUAAGGAGCACUGGAGCAGAAGAUCAUGCUUGCUUAACUUCCCAAGAGGCAUUUCAACCAAACUAUUUCUUCUGAGGCCCUCCUGUAUCAAAGAGAUGGAGGAUACCACAACAAUCUCAACAAACGAUGAAUUGGCGAGCCGAGAAAAUAAUUGAAUACAAACAGAACCUAUUUUUGCAACAUUGUAGCAGCAAAAUGGGUUUCUCAUCCUUUCUUUUCUUUUUCUAUAUUGACGACAAGAACAGCACACCUGUUUCGAAGAAGCGCAUUAACUACGCUCAUCGAAAAGAAGCAUUCAUUUACAACAUGUACCUAUUGGUUGUGAACUUAGCCUUUCGGAGGGCUUAAAUUUGAGCAUCAAUGCUAAUAAAGAGGAAGCAUUAGUUCUUACUUUGAUGAUAAUAAAAAUGAAUGAAUCA